ACUCAAAGGAAUAGACGGGGGCCCGCACAAGCGGUGGAGCAUGUGGUUUAAUUCGACGCAACGCGCAGAACCUUACCAGCCCUUGACAUGGUGGUUAAAGCCGGUGAGAGCCGGUGUCCCGCAAGGGGGCCAUCACAGGUGCUGCAUGGCUGUCGUCAGCUCGUGUCGUGAGAUGUUGGGUUAAGUCCCGCAACGAGCGCAACCCUUACCUUUAGUUGCCAACGGGUUUGGCCGGGCACUCUAGAGGGACUGCCGGUGACAAGCCGGAGGAAGGUGGGGAUGACGUCAAGUCCUCAUGGCCCUUACGGGCUGGGCUACACACGUGCUACAAUGGCAGUGACAGUGGGCAGCGAAGGGGCGACCCCGAGCUAAUCUCCAAAAACUGCCUCAGUUCGGAUUGCAGGCUGCAACUCGCCUGCAUGAAGGUGGAAUCGCUAGUAAUCGCGGAUCAGCACGCCGCGGUGAAUACGUUCCCGGGCCUUGUACACACCGCCCGU
rnacentral:rRNA from 1 species